AGAGAGUAAUUCAUCACAGGGAAGGAUUGAACUCAAGCUGUUGUUGUAGGGAUUUAUCUGGAAACUUUCUAGAGCUGUGCAUGUGUCUCCAGCAAAGCUGCAAUAAACAGAUGCAAUUUGAUCGGCUCACAAUGAGCGCAAACUUGCUGACUUACUAUUUUCAAUUAUCAUGAAAUUGCAUGGCCUGGAAAGCAUAGCCGGAUCUACGAUAGGAGGAAGACUUACAAUGUCUCGAGGCCUUUCUCGAUUAAAUGCUUAUUCUUCAUGGCUUCCCUACGUAUAUCAGCAGCCUGUCUGUCAAGACUAUUAGAGGUGGGAAUGAGGAAAUUAGCAGCCUCAUCACCUAUA